GUCAGUAGGCAGGAACACAACUCGAGAGGCCAAAAAUAAGACGGCGGCGAGGGUCACCCUGCUCUUCUGAGCCGGGCGCGGGUGACGGCCCGUGCUGAGCAUUCCACAAUCACACUUCUGUCUGAGGGUGCCCCUUGGUCCCGGGGCAUCGGCCUCCUGGUCGGAAGGUGGCAGAGCCCUGAUUGUGAGCAGUGAGUAAUGAUGACUCAGGAAAAUUCGAAAGGACACAGGGAACACCCCCGAAGUCAUCUGGGGACAGGCCCUGGUUCCCCCUGCCGGUCAGGGAGCCAGGAGUUCUGGCCUCCCAUUGUAAAGGAGGAAUUUCUGAAGUUUUCUCUGGAACUUUGGCAGAAUCCUGUGGGAUCUUUCAGAGGAAGCAUUACGCUUUGGGUGUUUUUCUGGAGGGGAAAUUACUAAGAUUUCUUUCACCUUUGUAGCUAUUUGUGAAUUAGCUCCUCUUCUCUUUUAGCUCCAGAUUAUAUUUGUCUCUCUAUUCUGAUUCGGCAUCUGUUACCUUGUAUGACGAACAGUACUCCCGAAAGCAAGUAAUGACAGUAAUAAUAGCUAACAUUUUUUCAGCCCUUAUGGCAUGCCAGGUACCCAUCUCUCUGUGUAAUUUUUGUGGUUCAUCAAAUCUGAAGCUCCAUCAGUCUCCAGAUAUGCCAUGUAUGGUGUACCACUAAAGAAUACUGCCAAUUAACCCAUGGCAUGCCAUUGAUUUUAAGACUCACUUGGCUUUCAGAAAUGUUAAAACAGGAGCGUUGGAAUCAAUGAAAUGCAGUAACUGAUUCUCAGUUGUCAUCCUUGCCUUACAGCCUUACCAAGGAACAGAGAGGUUGAGUAAACCUGCCUGAUGCCACAGAGCGACUGUGUGGUGGAAAUGGGAUACGAACCCAGAUUCAGGCUCCAAAACCUGGGCGCCUAACCACCGUGCUUCAUUGUGUCUGAGAAGUGGUUUCUGUCUAUCCCCCGGCGGGACAGAAGGAAGGACAAAAAACACAAGAGGGAAAGUUGGACCCCACCCUCUGCUCCCUCUUCCUCAUCGCCCUCAGGGCCAGUGUUGAUGCCCCUUCUGAAAACUGCUCCUCCUCUCACUCCCAGCAGCUGGCUCCCUGGUUCUGUCCUUCCUUGCCUCUCUCUUGCCCCUGCUUGGACUUCUGCAGCAGCCUCUUAGCUGUCACCCUCCUCCGAUCUUUCCCCCACACCUCCACACACACAGACACACACACUGAGACAGUCAUCUUCUUAAAAUGUGAAUCUGGUCUUGUCGCUGUUCCAAAACCUCCGAGAGAUCCACAUCCUAACAAGCGAUUCCUCACUCGUUUAGCUGUUUCAGCACCUACUCUGUGCCCGGCUCAGAGGAUGGAAAGAUAUGCCAAGCCCACAGUUGCUGUCCCUGGCUGGGUGAUGAUCAAGAGACCAGGCGGUAACUAGGCGAUGUAGCAGCCCUUGGAUGUGUCUGGGAAGGGGAGACCCGCUGUCCCCCCGCAGUCUCCAGAGAGAAGCCUGUGUCCACUCUAGAAAUGAAGCAAACAGCAGCCACCGUUAAGGCAGGCAGCCCUAUGUGCCCAGAAGAUGCCCAUUUUCCACUCACCAGGCUGCUCGAGACAGCUCAGAGGGUGAGCGCUAUUCUACAACAUAGCUCCCUGCGCCCCCUCGGGCGCCCCCAGCUCCCCCUACUAGAGGGUCAGCGCCUCUCUGCACUGACGCUAACUGGCUGGCUGCAUCAUGACGGGUGGAGAACACAUUUACAGUGGGGGACGCUAGUGCUCUGACACAAGCAGGGGUCUGGGGUAGAGAGCCGGAGGGUGGCCGGAAGGGGACCCCGGGGCGGCUGAGGGGAGGGGAGCAGCGUGAGGACUCCCCAGAGAGGAGGAGGCAGGUGGAGCCGAAGAGAAAACCUUGGCGGCGUCCCAGUUCAGCUGGGCCAUGGCUCUGUCAAUGGCCGGCUCUCCACCGGCCGGGCCGCUGGCCUGGCCCCGGGCCUGCGGUUUUCCUCAGUAGAGCAGCGGCGGCAGCUUCCGAGAAACCCCACCAAGACUUUCCUGUCAGGGCAACUCCAAGUUCCUCUUCAGGAAGGGGAAGUGGGGGAGUUUCUCCUAAGGGCUUUCAGUUUCUUUCUAAGAAGGUGGAGGGUCCCAACCCCGCAGUGCAGAGCCAGGUGUUAAGGGCAGGGAGGUCCCACGUCAGGGGCUUUCCCACCUCGGGUCCACGGGUGGACCUUCCAAAAGAGGAAAGCAGGCCCGGGUUUUGCAGGUCCUUUCCUGAGCCCCCCUCCUUUCUUCCCCUCCGGGCACACCCCCUGCGCCCCUCCCUGCCCCCACCAACACGUGGAGCAAGUGCACAGAAUGUGGCCUGCCCUCCCUCAGGGACCCGCCAGGUGGAAAUUUAUUUCCUCAGCCCUCCCAGCCAACGUCCUGGGAGCCCUGCUUCCUCGGGGCUCUGCUGGGCGACUCAACAUCUGACCCAGACCAAGGCCCAACAGGUGACACCUGCUUCUUGCCGAUGCUGGGCCAUGGAAGACCUCCAAACUUCUUUGAGGACACACUGUGGGAGCCCCAAGAACUGAGAGCCUGCCUUUUUUUUUUUAAGAAGGCCUGGCUUGGUGGCAAAGCAGAAGUCCUGAUGUGAUUAUAAACAAGAGCCACCGUUGAGGCUAAGCACCUACCGUGUGCCAGCAUUUUACAUGAAUAUCUUCCUGUAACCACCCCCUCUGCCGGGGGCAAUCCCAUGACGAAGACACCAUCGUUACUCCUGAAGUCAAGCAACCUGCCCAUUCACCUGGCCCAGAAGCCCGUUCUUCCCAGUAGACCUCUUCUCAGAAAGGCGGAGAAGAAAGACUAUCAGGCCCUCAGAGGAGCUGGCUGGGAAGGUGUGAUCUCCAAUAUCACCGAUCCUCAAAGCAAGCUCUGAGUGGUGACGAGCCAGCGAUCUAGUUACCGCGGGCUUCGCAGCACGGCCACGGCUGGGGGUCUUCCCGGGACAUCACAAACUCCUGUUUCCUCUUCUAUUUUCCUCUUACAGGCAUCGUGUUAGGGUUUCUGCUUUGCCAACACAUGCGUUAUGGGGACAGUGUGGGGAUUCCCCCAAACCAUGAUGCUGUUCUGCUCAAAAACAUUUGCCUAGAAGUCCACAACUGUGUGACUCACGCUGUUGAGAUGUCAAGAAAACUCACAGCUGCAGGGCGGAGGGGCCGGACCCAAACGGAAGGGGGCUCUCAGAGGGUGAGCAGCUCGGGAAAUAAAGAUACAGGACACCCAGUGACAUAUGAGUUUCAGAUCAACUACAACAUUUGGGAUGCCCUGAUACUAAAAAAAAAAAAAACAAAAAAAACCUGUUGUUUAUCUGAAGUGAAAGUGUGUGUUAGUUGCUCAGUCGAGUCUGACUCUUUGCGACCCCAUGGAUUGUAACCCAAACCAGGGACUGAACCAGUGUCUCUUACAUCUCCUGCAUUGGCAGGCGGGGUUUGUUUGUUUGUUUGUUUGUUUGUUUUUUUAACACUGGCACCACCUUGGAAACCCCAAGGACCUCCUAGGCCUUGGCUUUUCUGGCCUCGUUGAAAAUCUGCUAGAAGCAAGAAGAGGUGGGAAGUAGCCAAAGAGCAGGUUUAGAGACAAGGAAGAGACAGCUCUGCUUGGAAAAAUGCUGUUUCUCCUAUGCCACAGCACCCAAGGAGACUGGGGCGCUGGGACUGGACCCUGGGUGCCUGGAGAGAUCCUCUGGGGUCUGGCCACCCAGCUUUUCAAACACUCAUGGCAACACCUGAGCCACAGGUGUCUGGGAUCAUUGCUAGCUCCCAAAUUAGAAAAGUAUAUUGUAAGGAUGGCUAAAUGGUCUACAAAAUGUUAACUGCGCGAUUGUAACUCAGCUCCUGUACUUUAUGUAAAGUAUAUGUGCUGUGGCACGUGGGUCCAUUUGAAUACAGUUGAGGGAUG